rnacentral:rRNA from 1 species
GAUGAACGCUAGCGGCAGGCUUAAUACAUGCAAGUCGUGGGGCAGCAUGGGUAGCAAUACUUGAUGGCGACCGGCAAACGGGUGCGGAACACGUACACAACCUUCCGAUAAGUGGGGAAUAGCCCAGAGAAAUUUGGAUUAAUACCCCGUAACAUAUAGAGUAGGCAUCUUCUUUAUAUUAUAGCUUCGGCGCUUAUUGAUGGGUGUGCGUCUGAUUAGGUAGUUGGCGGGGUAACGGCCCACCAAGCCUACGAUCAGUAGCUGAUGUGAGAGCAUGAUCAGCCACACGGGCACUGAGACACGGGCCCGACUCCUACGGGAGGCAGCAGUAAGGAAUAUUGGACAAUGGGCGAAAGCCUGAUCCAGCCAUGCCGUGUGAAGGAUUAAGGUCCUCUGGAUUGCAAACUUCUUUUAUUUGGGACGAAAAAAGGGAAUUCUUUCCCACUUGACGGUACCAAGUGAAUAAGCACCGGCUAACUCCGUGCCAGCCGCCGCCGUAA